rnacentral:RNase_P_RNA from 1 species
UGAGUUGACCGAGCGGUCGCGUCCACCGAUGGAGGUGGAUGAGGAAAGUCCGAACUCCGGAGGACAGGGUGCUCGCUAACGGCGAGUCGUCGCGAGGCGAAGGCAAGCGCAACAGAAAGCAUACCGUUCCGAUUCAGACGAUUCGGAAUAAGGGUGAAAAGGUGAGGUAAGAGCUCACCGUCGUUCGCAGCGAUGCGGAUGAUCGGCAAGCCCCACCCGGAGCAAGGUCAAGCAACAGGGAUUCGGCUUAAUCGUAUGGUCGAAGCGAGGUUGUCCGUCUCGCCUUACCUGUGGGUAGACCGCUUGACGGCAACAGCAAUGUUGUCGCAAGACAGAUGACCGCAUAAACCAGAAUUCGGCUUACGGGUUGACUCACUCC